rnacentral:tRNA from 1 species
UCCCUGGUGGCUCAGAUGGUAAAGAACCUGACUGAAAUGCAGGAGAUCCGGGUUCCAUUCCUGGGUCGGGAA